GCCUCAAUAGCUCAGUUGGGAGAGCGCUACACUGAAGUUAGCAAUAUCUCAAUGUAUAGGUCCCCCGUUCAAACCGGGGUUGGGGCA